AGCGGCGGAUGGGUGAGUAACACGUGGGGAACCUGCCCCUAAGUCUGGGAUACAUUGGAAACAGGUGCUAAUACCGGAUAAUAAAGCAGAUCGCAUGAUCAGCUUUUGAAAGGCGGCGUAAGCUGUCGCUAAGGGAUGGCCCCGCGGUGCAUUAGCUAGUUGGUAAGGUAACGGCUUACCAAGGCGACGAUGCAUAGCCGAGUUGAGAGACUGAUCGGCCACAUUGGGACUGAGACACGGCCCAAACUCCUACGGGAGGCAGCAGUAGGGAAUCUUCCACAAUGGACGCAAGUCUGAUGGAGCAACGCCGCGUGAGUGAAGAAGGUAUUCGGAUCGUAAAGCUCUGUUGUUGGUGAAGAAGGAUAGAGGUAGUAACUGGCCUUUAUUUGACGGUAAUCAACCAGAAAGUCACGGCUAACUACGUGCCAGCAGCCGCGGUAAUACGUAGGUGGCAAGCGUUGUCCGGAUUUAUUGGGCGUAAAGCGAGCGCAGGCGGAAAAAUAAGUCUAAUGUGAAAGCCCUCGGCUUAACCGAGGAACUGCAUCGGAAACUGUUUUUCUUGAGUGCAGAAGAGGAGAGUGGAACUCCAUGUGUAGCGGUGGAAUGCGUAGAUAUAUGGAAGAACACCAGUGGCGAAGGCGGCUCUCUGGUCUGCAACUGACGCUGAGGCUCGAAAGCAUGGGUAGCGAACAGGAUUAGAUACCCUGGUAGUCCAUGCCGUAAACGAUGAGUGCUAAGUGU
rnacentral:rRNA from 1 species